AAUCUAAUGCGCAUCUUCUUUUAGUGUUUCCCUUGGUGUACCAUAAGAGAUGGUGAGUUUUGUUUCUAGGAACGCGCUUUUGUUGAUGUCAUUUUGCUUCCUUGCUUUGCUUCUGUUGUGUGCUGAGGCCGGAUCUCUUGUGGGAGUUUCUCUUCUGUUUUCUUCCCCAGUAUUGGGGACGCAGGCUUGGGACUAUGUUGGAGUCAAGCUUGAUUGGUUGGAUGGUUGGGUUGUGCCUCCAUGGUUUUAGGUUGUGAGCUUCGAGUUGUGACACUGAUAUUAAGCCUGUCGCGGCUACACACACUGACAACAUCUGGUUCCUGUUUUCUCCAGGAUUGACUGUUAUUCUAUAUGAGUUCAUAUAGAACUAGAAGGAAAUGAGAAGGCUGACACACUCGCCAAGAGUGGGAGAACUAACACACUAAUAAACUCUGCACUCUAUCCAGAAGAAUUGAAGAAAUUAAUCGUAAAUAAAAUAAAUGAGAAAUGGACGAGCUCUCAUCCAAAUCACAAGAAAGAUGACGCUUACUAUAAGCUAUCCCGACAAGACCAACGUCUAAUCUUUCGACUCAGGACCGGACACAACAGAAUGUGACAACACAUGUACCGGAAGCUCAAAAUUGGAACCAGUGAAAUCUGCCCAUGUGGAGUAUCACCAGAGAAUGCAGACCACGUCCUCCAAAACUGCUCUCUCUACCAAAAGGCCCGUAUAAGACAUUGGCCCCAAAUCACCCCAAUAGAAAGGAAACUAUAUGGAGAGCUCCCUUAUUUGGAAACCACUGCGCAGUUCAUCUCAUGUAUUGGUCUACUCAUCUGAACACUCCAACAUAACAAUGAACGAAGAAGAAGAAAGAGUGUUAUUCAUCUCAACAGUUGGACUGUUCCUGGAGGAAGAUCUACAUCUUUAAGGACCAGUUGGACACUUAGUCCCAAGUUCUACAUCUGGAAU